rnacentral:rRNA from 1 species
AUUGAACGCCGGCGGCAGGCCUAACACAUGCAAGUCGAGCGAGCGGCGGACGGGUGAGUAAUGUAUGGGGACUGCCCGAUAGAGGGGGAUAACUACUGGAAACGGUGGCUAAUACCGCAUACUAUCGGAUAACCCAUAUGGGAUUAGCUAGUAGGUGGGGUAAAGGCUCACCUAGGCGACGAUCGCUAGCUGGUCUGAGAGGAUGAGCAGCAGAACGGGGACUGAGACACGGCCCAGACUCCUACGGAGGCAGCAGGGGGGAAUAUGGCACAAUGGGCGCAAGCCUGAUGCAGCCAUGCCGCGGGUAUGAAGAAGGCCGGAGGGUUGUAAAGUACUGUCAGCGGGGAGGCGUUACCCGCAGAAGAAGCACCGGCUAACUCCGUGCCAGCAGCCGCGGUAAUUC